rnacentral:tRNA from 1 species
GUUUUACUAGUAUAAUGAGUAUGUUUGAUUUCCAAUUAAGUGGUUCUUGUGAAGUCAAGAGUAAAAUA